AAAAGGUUGCAAGAUAGUGACUAAUCCCAACUAAAGUUGUGAUACCUCUAAAAACAUAAAUUACGAGUUGGUCAUAGAUGGACGCUUUGGAUCGUUAGAUCCGGAUCCAAUACCUUCUUGUUAAAAUUGUAUAGAGGCGAAAUGUUCGAAUCUUUAUUCUUUUGGAAAGAAGAAAGAAUCACAAAGUUGUUUGAGGUUAAUUCACUUAGAUGUUAGUGGCACUUGUCCA
rnacentral:lncRNA from 1 species